UUUCCACGGAAUAUGAUGAUUCAUGUUCAUCUUCGAUAUGGUUGUUUUCACCAUAAUAAAGUACAUGAAAAUCUAGGCUUGCAGAUUAAUAUAGCUUCAGAUGCUUUGUUUUGGGAAAGAGGGAGAAAUCAGUGGUUGUGCUUAAGCUUUUGUUCUUUAUUUACCUUCGAGGCAUAAAUUCAAAUGAUUAGUAUAUGCAUGGUAAUCUCUGUGCUUUUGACAACCACUAGAGGACCGUGUGACAACUAAUUUAUGAUUCAUUAUCUGCUCCUUUUUAUUCCUGACAUUUAGCUCUUGCCCUUGAUCAGUACUUUUGAAAGGAACUCUUCCUCGGCCUCUGCCUGGGCGCGACCUGCACUGUCAGUACAUAUGUUGUGGCUAUGCCAAAAGUAACCACUUAAUUAGAUUUCUAUUUUUAACUAAUCCCUCUUCCGUUUCAGCAAUGUUCAAGUCUGAAUACAUUUUCUCCUAUAUAUAUAUUACAUCAGGUGAUGACAUAAUUUGUUAAUGGCAUUAUGGCAGGACUCAUGUGGUCAUUUGUUACAAUGGCGGCUCAUGAAGUUCAAAAAAUGUGUUCUUUACAGAUUUGAGAUGAUAGAAAUUCAGAAUAGGUUCGAGGCUACAACCCAAUCUUCUUCCUCCAGACUGGAUCAGGAUUCAGGACCACACCGUCGAGGCCUGCAGAAACUCUUACUCAACCGUGUCGGUCAGGAAUAAGAUGGCAGAGGACCCAAGGUUGCUCAGUAGUGACUCUUCGUUGCCGAGUUCUCAAGGCGCUCUGCCUGGUCAUCAGAAUGGAGCUGCCGAAUGUGGAGAGCAGACGUUGCACGAUCAAUCCAGUGGAAUGUCUAGAAAGCCAUCAGGGGAGCAGAUCGCUGCUGAGGCUGGUGUGCGCUCUCAGUUCUCUACCCUGCCGUCUCGCUCCCUCUCGCCAACUAGGUACCUCCACCACGUGUUAAGGCCACCUGAACAUGUUCCAUCCUGUAUGUAUGCAUCUUUUUGCAUGAAGAGCUGUGUGAUACAGAAAAGGGCCUUUCCUUUCAGGCACGGCAAAGAAGAGUAUGAUAGCGGGAUUAACUUAGCUAGGCAAGGUAUGGAGAGAUGAGCUCAAACAUCAUCUGGAAGCAGGCUUUUUGCUAAGGUUAAAGAACAUGAAGAAGAGAUUGCACAUUUAAGAAGACAUCUUGCUGACUAUUCAGUGAAGUACCAUGUCGAAAAUAUUACAUUACCUCUUUUACCCCCUUCCACGUCCUCUGUUUUCGCUUUUCGGUAUGCGUCCACAAAAUCUAACUGGACUGUCUUUGGUCUGAUGUCUUAGUGUUCCGAAGCCAAAAUACUUAAUGAGCUUUUUUUUGGAAAGGCGCAUUACAUUUAUGCGAAUGCAGAAACAAGAUUCGGUUGAUGCUGCAUCGAAAGCUUUAGCCUAUAGACAAGACAUCAUCGAAGAGAACAUCUGUCUGACAUAUGCGUUGCAGAUUUGUUCAUCGCAUGAAGCAAGGAAUCGAGAUGGCUAUCCACUUCAUAUAGUUAACUGCAUGUGUCGCACUAUGCUUUAUGAAAGCAACCUAAAUAAAUUAUUGUAAAUAACCCUAAGGAUUUUCUUGGACUUGAACUAUCUUUAAACCUUUUUUCUUGCUUCUUGAUGCUUUUAGACUAUCAUGCUGCCAUGGACUGGAAUACAACCAUUAUGUUUAAGAAUGCAUGCUAUCUAUGAAAUAUCUUACAUGGUACUAAUUCUUGGACUGCUUCGGUUUUUUGCGCCAAGGGCGUGAUGGGUCAUCGAUUUCCUUAUGCAUCAAGGAUUUUAUUAUCAAUCUUUAAACUAUUCUUACUUGCUUGGCUCGCUCUCGCUUUUUGCGCCAUGGGCGCAACGGGUCAUCUAGUAUUAAA